rnacentral:misc_RNA from 1 species
UUUCCGUAGGUGAACCUGCGGAAGGAUCAUUACUGAGUGAGGGCCCCUCGGGGUCCAACCUCCCACCCGUGUUUAACGAACAUUGUUGCUUCGGCGGGCCCGCCUCACGGCCGCCGGGGGGCAUCUGCCCCCUGGCCCGCGCCCGCCGAAGCCACCUGUGAACGCUGCCAGAAGUAUGCAGUCUGCGACUAUUGUUAAAUUAAUUAAAACUUUCAACAACGGAUCUCUUGGUUCCG